GCCCUUCCUUACUUCUUCCACCUGCCUGCAUAUCCCAGGGCUUGUUCUGCUGCCUCAUACAGUCCCUAAAACCAGAUCCUGCAAAAUACAGGGAUACAUACAAAACCAGUUAGGAGGUACUCAUAAAAGUCAUCAUGGAUAAAUACCAGCUACGAAAAAAAAGAUACUCAUUAUAUAUGAGCACAUGAGCUGUUCUUGUCUUACCACAGAAUCACAGGAUUUCUAGGUUGGAAGAGACCUCAAGAUCAUCAAGUCCAACCUCUGACCUAACACUAACAAGUCCUCCACUAAACCAUAUCCCUAAGCUCUACAUCUAAAUGUCUUUAAAAGACCUCCAGGGAUGGUGACUCAACCACUUCCCUGGGCAGCCCGUUCCAAUGCCUCACAACCCUUUCGGUAAAGAAGUUCUUCCUAACAUCCAACCUAAAACUCCCCUGGCACAACUUUAACCCAUUCCCCCUCGUCCUGUCACCUCCAUGUCCUUCUUGUAGCAAGGGGCCCAAAACUGAACACAGUACUCGAGGUGCAGCCUCACCAGAGCCGAGUACAGGCAAUCACUUCCCUAGCCCUGCUGGCCACACUGCUUCUGAUACAAACCAGAAUGCCAUUGGCCUUCUUGGCCACCUGAGCACACUGCUGGCUCAUAUUCAGCCGGCUAUCAACCAAUACUCCCAGGUCCUUCUCUGCCUGGCAGCUUUCCAACCAGCAUGUUAAUGGCAAAAUGCUCAUCUGACUGCAACAGAUGAAGCAGUUGAGAUCAGCCAACCAAAAAUCCUUAUGCACUACUAGAAAGGUAAUUAAAGCUGAAGUUCUGUCUCUGCACUGGGGAAACCUACAAUUGAAGAAACCGCCUGGAACUGGGGAACCAACUGGGAACAUUCCAGGCACACGUACUUGGAAGGAAAACAGAAUAAAUGAGAUCCUGGGAGAAGAAAAUAUGCCAGAAAAAAGACAAUAGGAAAUUGAUUACCAUCAGAAGAAUGAAAGAAUGAGUCAUCAGAUGGCUCCUUAAAUAAAAAGUACACAUUCACAGGCA
rnacentral:lncRNA from 1 species